GUCUGGAGAAACUUAGUUGGUAGAACACGAGACUCUUAAUCUCAAGGUUGUGGGUUCAAGCCCCAUGUUGGACA